CCUACGGGUGGCAGCAGUCGAGAAUCAUUCACAAUGGGGGAAACCCUGAUGGUGCGACGCCGCGUGGGGGAAUGAAGGUCUUCGGAUUGUAAACCCCUGUCAUGUGGGAGCAAAUUAAAAAGAUAGUACCACAAGAGGAAGAGACGGCUAACUCUGUGCCAGCAGCCGCGGUAAUACAGAGGUCUCAAGCGUUGUUCGGAAUCACUGGGCGUAAAGCGUGCGUAGGCUGUUUCGUAAGUAGUGUGUGAAAGGCGCGGGCUCAACCCGCGGACGGCACAUGAUACUGCGAGACUAGAGUAAGGGAGGGGGAACCGGAAUUCGCGGUGUAGCAGUGAAAUGCGUAGAUAUCGAGAGGAACACUCGUGGCGAAGGCGGGUUCCUGGACAUUAACUGACGCUGAGGCACGAAGGCCAGGGGAGCGAAAGGGAUUAGAUACCCCUGUAGUC
rnacentral:rRNA from 1 species